rnacentral:rRNA from 1 species
UCGACGGAGAGUUUGAUCCUGGCUCAGGACGAACGCUGGCGGCGUGCCUAAUACAUGCAAGUCGAGCGGGGUCCAACCAGUGGCAACACUGGGGACGACCUAGCGGCGAACGGGUGAGUAACACGUAAGGAACCUGCCCCGAAGUCUGGGAUAACUCGAGGAAACUCGUGCUAAUACCGGAUGUCCCCACUGCAACCGCAUGGUUGUGUGGGGAAAGUUUUUUCGCUUCGGGAGGGCCUUGCGGCCUAUCAGCUAGUUGGUGGGGUAACGGCCCACCAAGGCGUCGACGGGUAGCUGGUCUGAGAGGACGAUCAGCCACACUGGGACUGAGACACGGCCCAGACUCCUACGGGAGGCAGCAGUAGGGAAUCUUGCGCAAUGGGCGAAAGCCUGACGCAGCAACGCCGCGUGGGGGAUGAAGGCUCUCGGGUUGUAAACCCCUUUCAGCAGGGACGAAAUUGACGGUACCUGCAGAAGAAGCCCCGGCCAACUACGUGCCAGCAGCCGCGGUGAUACGUAGGGGUCUAGCGUUGUCCGGAAUUAUUGGGCGUAAAGAGCUCGUAGGCGGUUCGGCAAGUCGGAUGUGAAAUCUCCACGCUUAACGUGGAGGGGCCAUUCGAAACUGCC